GGGGCGUUAACUCAGCUGGUAGAGUGCCAUCUUGACGUGGUGGAAGUCACAGGUUCGAGCCCUGUACGCCCUA
rnacentral:tRNA from 1 species